CUCCGGCGAGCCAAGACUAAGAACGCCACUUCCUGUGGCAACGUCUUUGUGACCCACAUCCUGUGGG
rnacentral:sRNA from 1 species